UUCUCGCUUUUACGGUUUGCGUGAGGGAUAGAAGCGGAUAGCCCACAGCCUGACGAAGGAAGUGCGAGGACUUGAAGCGGAUAGCCCGACCCGUA
rnacentral:misc_RNA from 1 species